GCGGUGCUGGCGCGGGUCGAGGAGGCGCGAUCGGGCGGCUAUCUCGCGGGCGUCGAGGCGGCGAUCGAGCGCUGGUUCACGCCGGCGUUCCGCAC
rnacentral:tRNA from 1 species